GUGGCUAUGCAGUAAAGCGCUUGGCUUCCGAACCGGGGGUCCCGGGUUCGAAUCCCGGC
rnacentral:tRNA from 1 species